UACGUAGGCAGCAAGCGUUGUUCGGAGUUACUGGGCGUAAAGGGUGUGUAGGCGGUUUUCUAAGUCUGGUGUGAAAUCUCCCGGCUCAACUGGGAGGGUGCGCCGAAAACUGGAAGGCUAGAGUGCGGGAUGGGAGAGUGGAAUUCCUGGUGUAGCGGUGAAAUGCGUAGAUAUCGAGAGGAACACCAGAGGUGAAGACGGGUUGCUGGGCCGACACUGACGCUGACAGCGCGAAAGCCAGGGGAGCAAACGGG
rnacentral:rRNA from 1 species